GAUGAACGCUGGCGGCGUGCCUAAUACAUGCAAGUCGAGCGAACGGACGAGAAGCUUGCUUCUCUGAUGUUAGCGGCGGACGGGUGAGUAACACGUGGAUAACCUACCUAUAAGACUGGGAUAACUUCGGGAAACCGUAGCUAAUACCGGAUAAUAUUUUGAACCGCAUGGUUCAAAAGUGAAAGACGGUCUUGCUGUCACUUAUAGAUGGAUCCGCGCUGCAUUAGCUAGUUGGUAAGGUAACGGCUUACCAAGGCAACGAUGCAUAGCCGACCUGAGAGGGUGAUCGGCCACACUGGAACGGAGACACGGUCCAGACUCCUACGGGAGGCAGCAGUAGGGAAUCUUACGCAAUGGGCGAAAGCCUGACGGAGCAACGCCGCGUGAGUGAUGAAGGUCUUCGGAUCGUAAAACUCUGUUAUUAGGGAAGAACAUAUGUGUAAGUAACUGUGCACAUCUUGACGGUACCUAAUCAGAAAGCCACGGCUAACUACGUG
rnacentral:rRNA from 1 species